rnacentral:tRNA from 1 species
AAGAAGUUAGUUAAAAAAUAACAUUAGUAUGUCAUAUUAAAAUCAUUAAUAAUUUAAUACUUCUUU